rnacentral:rRNA from 1 species
UACGAAGGGGGCGAGCGUUAAUCGGAAUUACUGGGCGUAAAGCGCGCGUAGGCGGCUUUGCAAGUCGAGUGUGAAAUCCCCAGGCUUAACCUGGGAACUGCAUUCGAGACUGCAUAGCUAGAGUAUGGGAGAGGGAAGUGGAAUUUCAGGUGUAGCGGUGAAAUGCGUAGAUAUCUGAAGGAACAUCAGUGGCGAAAGCGACUUCCUGGACCAAUACUGACGCUCAUGUGCGAAAGCGUGGGGAGCAAACAGG